ensembl:misc_RNA Y_RNA Y RNA
GGUUGGUCUGAGUGCAGUGGUGUUUACAACUAAUUGAUCACAACCAGUUACAGAUUUCUUUGUUCCUUCUCCACUCCCACUGCUCUACUUGACCAGCCUUAA